CGUAGGGUGCGAGCGUUAAUCGGAAUUACUGGACGUAAAGCGUGCGCAGGCGGUUAUAUAAGACAGAUGUGAAAUCCCCGGGCUCAACCUGGGACCUGCAUUUGUGACUGUAUAGCUAGAGUACGGUAGAGGGGGAUGGAAUUCCGCGUGUAGCAGUGAAAUGCGUAGAUAUGCGGAGGAACACCGAUGGCGAAGGCAAUCCCCUGGACCUGUACUGACGCUCAUGCACGAAAGCGUGGGGAGCAAACAGGAUUAGAUGCCCUGGUAGUCCACGCCCUAAACGAUGUCAACUGGUUGUUGGGUCUUCACUGACUCAGUAACGAAGCUAACGCGUGAAGUUGACCGCCUGGGGAGUACGGCCGCAAGGUUG
rnacentral:rRNA from 1 species